CUUGUCCCCUUCAGCAGUAAUGGUUCUAGGUUUCUGUUUCUGAUAUCAGAGAUGUGACUUAAAUUCUGACUCACAGACUAGGAUUAAAUCAGUGUGCCAAAAGACAAGUGUCAAUUUCACACUUUCCAUUCUCUUAGAGCCUCUUCUUUAUUACCAUUUUAUUUAAAAUAUUUGUUCAGUGCCCUCCAUACCAGAGACCCCAGGACAGUGAGACAGCAAAUAUGUCAUAAAAUAUUAAAAUAUAUAAUACAAAUGUAAGAUUAAUGAGACAGCAGCAAGGCUCAGUGGAAAAUCUCAGGAAAAGGGCAAAACUGCUUUGUCAGGUAAGUACAGCUCAAAAUAGAAAGAGAGGUGAGGGAGGGAAGCAAAAGCAUUUUCUGAUGAAACCAUGUGUUAUACAACUUUGCUAAUUGGCACAUAUUUUGCACAGGGAUUGAUCAACUCUUCAGAACAGAGCAUUUGUAGAAGAAGGUGAAUCCAGUAAUGAGCAUGAAAUUGCUUCCUUGCCCACCAAUGCCAUUGGGUGAUUUCUAAAGCAUUUUGUCCCUCCCCUGGCAUGAGAAUGGCUGGGGCCAGAAAUGGCUAAUUGGAAAACAGAGAGAUGGGAUAAAUAUGGACCAACUUACCAUGGAUGGGACUGCACAGAAACCAUACCCACGUUUAAGUAGUAAAUAUUGAGUCAGCCCUCAGGUUGGGGCCAUAUUUCAAUGGAAAAAGAAAAGGAGAAGAGUGCUGCCAUGGAAAAAAAGCUGUCACAUAAAUAAUACAUACCAGGUUAUAUAUAAAUCCCAGGGUUAUUCUACUGACUGGGCUACAAGUUAUCUCUUCCUAACAGCACAUUUAUCACUUGCAACUGCAGAUGGAAAUCUCUAUUCCUACAGGGGCUUGUUUACACUGUCAGGGAUCCCAGUUUGUAGAGAAGCUAAUAUCCCUGAAUCAACAGUCUCCCAGGGCAAGGAAGAUGCGGCUGAUUCCAAGCUUCUCUUACUGUCUACUCCUACUGACCUCACUUCCAUCAAAAUAUGUCCAGGAAAAUAAGCAGCCAUCCCCUCUGCCUCUAAAAGGCAGCUUAAGGUCUUGCUCUUUCCAUCUUGAUAUCAAUCAGCAUAAACAGGAGAGACAAUUGCAAGGAGAGAUCACUUCACCCUCCAGGGUCUAUUCAAUCACCCCAGCCUCCCUAAUCGCAAACAGAUUAAACACACGCAGCCAGAUGAAGCUGAAAUGAAGGUUCUCCCACUGUGCUUAACCUAUUAUCAGCAUUACCAGACAUGUACUCAAGUCUGGUGCAGCAGUCCAUA